GAAGGUUUCUGUUUCAUGUGGAUGUCAGAAUUAAACUGGCUUUUGAGAAAUGUGAAGUUUUAUGUUGUUGGGAGGAAAAGGUUAAAAGCUGAAGAGCAGAGAAGAGGGCGGCAGAAUUGCUCGAGUGACCUUGCUGCUGGGAAUACCAAGGCUUGGAGAAUAUCACUGAUGGAAACCCGCUUGGAAGUGGAAAUGCCUACAGGUUCUGCCUGUGCUGCUGAUCUGUGAUUUGCAUCAUCAUUCAACAAGGGAACAAGCAGAAG
rnacentral:lncRNA from 12 species